rnacentral:rRNA from 1 species
ACUCAAAGGAAUAGACGGGGACCCGCACAAGCGGUGGAGUAUGUGGUUUAAUUCGAAGAUACGCGAAAAACCUUACCAGCUCUUGACAUGUUGAUCGUACGAUGGAGAGAUUCAUUGGUCGGUUCGGCCGGAUCAAACACAGGUGCUGCAUGGCUGUCGUCAGUUCGUGUCGUGAGAUGUUGGGUUAAGUCCCGCAACGAACGCAACCCUUGCUGCUAGUUGCCAUCAUUAAGUUGGGCACUUUAGUAGAACUGCCGGUGAUAAGCCGGAGGAAGGCAGGGACGACGUCAAGUCAUCAUGGCCCUUAUGGGCUGGGCUACACACGUACUACAAUGGUAAUGACAGAGCGCUGUGCUAAGAUGUGAAUCUAAGCCAAUCGCAAAAAAUUAUCUCAGUUCGGAUUGUUCUCUGCAACUCGAGAACAUGAAGUCGGAAUCGCUAGUAAUCGUAGAUCAGAACGCUACGGUGAAUACGUUCCCGGGUCUUGUACACACCGCCCGU